CAGUCGCCGCGGUAAUACGUAGGUGGCAAGCGUUGUCCGGAAUUAUUGGGCGUAAAGGGCUCGCAGGCGGUUUCUUAAGUCUGGUGUGAAAGCCCCCGGCUCAACCGGGGAGGGUCAUUGGAAACUGGGAAACUUGAGUGCAGAAGAGGAGAGUGGAAUUCCACGUGUAGCGGUGAAAUGCGUAGAGAUGUGGAGGAACACCAGUGGCAAAGGCGACUCUCUGGUCUGUAACUGACGCUGAGGAGCGAAAGCGUGGGGAGCGAACAGGAUUAGAUACCCCUGUAGUCCCUGUCUCUUAUAC
rnacentral:rRNA from 1 species